rnacentral:rRNA from 1 species
UGGGGAAUAUUGGACAAUGGGCGAAAGCCUGAUCCAGCCAUGCCGCGUGUGUGAAGAAGGUCUUCGGAUUGUAAAGCACUUUAAGUUGGGAGGAAGGGCAGUUACCUAAUACGUGAUUGUUUUGACGUUACCGACAGAAUAAGCACCGGCUAACUCUGUGCCAGCAGCCGCGGUAAUACAGAGGGUGCAAGCGUUAAUCGGAAUUACUGGGCGUAAAGCGCGCGUAGGUGGUUAGUUAAGUUGGAUGUGAAAUCCCCGGGCUCAACCUGGGAACUGCAUUCAAAACUGACUGACUAGAGUAUGGUAGAGGGUGGUGGAAUUUCCUGUGUAGCGGUGAAAUGCGUAGAUAUAGGAAGGAACACCAGUGGCGAAGGCGACCACCUGGACUGAUACUGACACUGAGGUGCGAAAGCGUGGGGAGCAAACAGGAUUAGAUACCCGCGUAGUCCCUGAGCGGGCUGGCAAGGCGCAU